GGGCGACUGGGAGACCGGGAGAGGGAGAGGAGGCGGAGGAGGCGGAAGAGGAGGCUAGGGUUUUUCUGCUGUCGAGCGCAAGUUAAACCCGACAACUUUAGCCGACGAAAUUAUUAUUUCGUCGGCUAAAGUUAAGAAUCUCGUCGGCUAAGAAUCAAUUCGUCGGCUAAACCUUCGAAAUUCGUCGGCAAACCUUCGAAAUUCGUCGGCUAAACCUUUGAAAUUCGUCGGCUAAACCUUUGAAAUUCGUCAGCUAACCUUUGAAAUUCGUCAGCUAAAGUACUUUUAUACAUUUGGCACAUUGUGAUUGUGAUGAUCAAACUUGAGAAACAGAAAUCCGACCGUCAGAUCUGACCACCAUGACAAAAUAAAUGUAUGGGCAAAAAUUCAACUUGAUCCGACAAGAAUAAGGGCUCGAUCUGAAUGGUCAAUCUCGUAAGUAAAACCCCUAAACCCACGGAAAAGGUCGUUCGACCGUCUAAAUUACGUAUUUUGGCCGGACCUUCAACUGAAAAUAGUUUUAAAUCGAUGACACGCAACAAUUCGUAUAAAAAUUUUACGCAAAAUAACCACCGAAGAUAGGGCUACUCAUAGGGGGAAAGAACGAAAAAUUGCAUUGACCGCAACUAUCGGCAUCGAAUAUUUACCGGAAUAGUGUGAUUUUUCAACCAUGGAUGUAUUUCAACAUUCUCGUCAUAUCUUAUUUCACGACUUUUUGGCGUUUGAAGGUUUUACGUAUAGUUUGUUUUUGAAACGGAACAUUUACAUAACACUUGGUAAACAAGUUAUACAACAUUAGUAGGCAUGUUGUGAUUGUGAUGAUCAAACUUGAGAAAUAGAAAUCCGACCGUCAGAUCUGACCAUCAUGACAAAAUACAUGUAUGGUAAAAAAUUCAACUUGAUCCGACAAGAAUAAGGGCUCGAUCCGGACGGUUAAUCUCGUAAGUCAAACCCCUAAACGGACGGAAAAGGUCGUUCGACCGUCUAAAUUACGUAUUUUGGCCGGCCCUCCAC
rnacentral:lncRNA from 1 species